UGGGGAAUUUUGGACAAUGGGCGAAAGCCUGAUCCAGCCAUGCCGCGUGCGGGAAGAAGGCCUUCGGGUUGUAAACCGCUUUUGUCAGGGAAGAAAUCCUUUGAGCUAAUACCUCGGGGGGAUGACGGUACCUGAAGAAUAAGCACCGGCUAACUACGUGCCAGCAGCCGCGGUAAUACGUAGGGUGCAAGCGUUAAUCGGAAUUACUGGGCGUAAAGCGUGCGCAGGCGGUCUUGUAAGACUGUCGUGAAAGCCCCGGGCUUAACCUGGGAACUGCGAUUGUGACUGCAUAGCUAGAGUACGGUAGAGGGGGAUGGAAUUCCGCGUGUAGCAGUGAAAUGCGUAGAUAUGCGGAGGAACACCGAUGGCGAAGGCAAUCCCCUGGACCUGUACUGACGCUCAUGCACGAAAGCGUGGGGAGCAAACA
rnacentral:rRNA from 1 species